rnacentral:rRNA from 1 species
UGUCCGGAAUACUGGGCGUAAAGAGCUCGUAGGUGGUUUGUCGCGUUGUUCGUGAAAACUCACAGCUCAACUGUGGGCGUGCGGGCGAUACGGGCAGACUGGAGUACUGCAGGGGAGACUGGAAUUCCUGGUGUAGCGGUGGAAUGCGCAGAUAUCAGGAGGAACACCGGUGGCGAAGGCGGGUCUCUGGGCAGUAACUGACGCUGAGGAGCGAAAGCGUGGGGAGCGAACAGGAUUAGAUACCCUGGUAGUCCACGCCGUAAACGGUGGGUACUAGGUGUGGGUUUCCUUCCUUGGGAUCCGUGCCGUAGCUAACGCAUUAAGUACCCCGCCUGGGGAGUACGGCCGCAAGGCUAAAACUCAAAGAUAUUGACGGGGGCCCGCACAAGCGGCGGAGCAUGUGGAUUAAUUCGAUGCAACGCGAAGAACCUUACCUGGGUAUGACAUGCACAGGACGUGCCUAGAGAUAGGUAUUCCCUUGUGGCCUGUGUGCANGUGGUGCAUGGCUGUCGUCAGCUCGUGUCGUGAGAUGUUGGGUAAAGUCCCGCAACGAGCGCAACCCUUAUCUUAUGUUGCCAGCGCGUAAUGGCGGGGACUCGUGAGAGACUGCCGGGGUCAACUCGGAGGAAGGUGGGGAUGACGUCAAGUUAUCAUGCCCCUUAUGUUCAGGCUUCACACAUGCUACAAUGGCGGNACAAGGGGCUGCGAUGCCGUGAGGUG